GAUGAACGCUAGCGGCAGGCUUAACACAUGCAAGUCGAGGGGCAGCGCGGGAUAGCAAUAUCCUGGCGGCGACCGGCGGAAGGGUGCGUAACGCGUGAGCGACAUGCCCGUUGCCCGGGGACAACCGGUGGAAACGCCGACUAAUCCCCGAUGGGAUAUUGUGCCGCAUGGCACGAUAUUGAAAGUUACGGCGGCGACGGAUUGGCUCGCGUCCGAUUAGCUUGUUGGCGGGGUAACGGCCCACCAAGGCUGCGAUCGGUAGGGGUUCUGAGAGGAAGGCCCCCCACAAUGGGACUGAGACACGGCCCAUACUCCUACGGGAGGCAGCAGUGAGGAAUAUUGGUCAAUGGGCGGAAGCCUGAACCAGCCAUGCCGCGUGCAGGAAGGAGGCCCUAUGGGCUGUGAACCGCUUUUGCCUGGGGGCAAUAAGGGCGUCGCGCACGUCCGAUGAGAGUACCAGGCGAAUAAGCAUCGGCUAACUCCGUG
rnacentral:rRNA from 1 species